AUUGAACGCUGGCGGCAGGCCUAACACAUGCAAGUCGAGCGGCAGCGGAAAGUAGCUUGUUACUUUGCCGGCGAGCGGCGGACGGGUGAGUAAUGUCUGGGAAACUGCCUGAUGGAGGGGGAUAACUACUGGAAACGGUAGCUAAUACCGCAUAACGUCGCAAGACCAAAGAGGGGGACCUUCGGGCCUCUUGCCAUCAGAUGUGCCCAGAUGGGAUUAGCUAGUAGGUGGGGUAACGGCUCACCUAGGCGACGAUCCCUAGCUGGUCUGAGAGGAUGACCAGCCACACUGGAACUGAGACACGGUCCAGACUCCUACGGGAGGCAGCAGUGGGGAAUAUUGCACAAUGGGCGCAAGCCUGAUGCAGCCAUGCCGCGUGUAUGAAGAAGGCCUUCGGGUUGUAAAGUACUUUCAGCGGGGAGGAAGGCGUUGAGGUUAAUAACCUCAGCGAUUGACGUUACCCGCAGAAGAAGCACCGGCUAACUCCGUGCCAGCCGCCGCGGUAACAC
rnacentral:rRNA from 1 species